GCUCGAAAGCGGGACUAUCGUCGGAAUACAAACACUUGUAUUGCUCUGACUUCAUUUCAUCUUCAUUCGUUUUGCUUUGGAGGAAAUAUGGCACGAAUGCUGAGCAAGGAGACUCCGGAUAUCGAGAGCUGCAUGAAGCUAGAGAACAAUUUUGAUGACAUCUCUGAGUGAGCGUGGAGCACUUCGGGAAGCGGUGAGAUUGUCUGUGACCGAGGACUCGGCCAAGAUGGAAUGAAGCUUCUCUCGCUGAAGGAGGAGGGACACAAAGCUGUGUUUAUUGGAAUCGGUCAGUUUAUAUGCAUUUUCACACAUUGUCUUGUUGUCUGUUAUGUGGACAGACAAGCAUGUACACAGAAAAGAUGGAGAAAGCUUCUUUUUCUCUGAAUCACUGGCAACUCCUUGGCUCCCUGUCCGUGUUAAUGGCUGUGGAUGAUCCACUUGACGAUUUCUCCCCCUCUAACAGUAACCCCAUUCACAUCUCAUUUUCCGCCCGACUCCUUGAGCUGCCACUGUUUUUGCCGUGCUAACCUAACAGUGCAUGGUCGGGCUGCCCACUGCUUCUCAAUGAAGGACAUCCUGGUUUCUCAUCGGAUCCCUCUGCCCUGUUCUCUUUCAGCUGAGCCAUUCACUACCACUAGAUGUUG